CCUGUGGACAAGUAAAAUAAUUUCUAAAGUGUUUUCAAAUGUUUGAAAACUAAAUUAAGAUUCCUCCAACCAAACCUUUCAACUAAUCCAAGCCACUUCUUACAUCAAAUAUUUUCAAGUGAGCAGAGUAAUACAAGCUGUAAGCUUCACAACUACAUCCUUUCAUCUUGACUGUAAGUAAAUGGGCAACGCAUCAUAGAAUAUGUAAGCUGGACUCAGACAAAUGAACAAGCACAGAUAAAAACACUCAUAUAACCUUAAAAUAUCCUUCUGGUUUUAGAACUUGGUGUUAUGGGGGGUGGGGGAAUAUAUUUUGUAGAUUAUACAUUUAACUUUAUAAUGCAAAAUAAAUAGCAUCUACAAAUUAUAUCAAUAGUGAUUAAGGAGAGCACAGAAUAGCAUUUUAAUCUCCUUCUACACCUUGAAACACCAUGCCUCUAUAACAGAUGAGUCCAGAUUGCCUGACAACUGUAACCAUGUGAGGGUUCAACACAAAGGAAAGGAGAAGAGCUCUGAAAAGCCUUGAUAAACACUGAGCUGGUAGGCCUAUUGGACUGUAUUUUGCUCCUAGCCAUCCUUUUAAUUACAUAUUGGAUAUUAUCAGAGGAUGGAAAGCCUUAAAUACUGUUGGUAAUUUGUUGGUUUCACAUGAUAAACUUUUAAAAAAAUGGUAUUGUCAUUUCUCUGAUUUUUUACCCGAUUCAGAAACUUCUAUACAUUAUAAUGUAUUACUGAAAACAUCUUCAAUAGUGAAGGGUUUUUUCCUCUUAAAGAAGAAAUAUCAAACACAUGGUACCCGAAUGUUUCUACAUAUGUGUCUAUAUGUAUUUUAACCUGUGUGAAAUUCUGUUUUCUGAUGGGCAUUGUAGGUGUGGUGCAACUGUGUAACUCUGUGGUUCAAAUGCCACAAAGCGUCUGUUGCGUCCAGAUCAAGCUGCCAUAAGUUGGGUCUCAGAGUGUAACAGAAGUGUUGUGUUACACAUAUAGCAAAGUAAUUCUGUUCUAAUGGUAUGGAGAGUUGUGUGAAAUGGCUGUUUUGUGGAAAGAAGAAUUACUAUUUUAUAAGGAAUUCAACAAGGUAUUUCUGUCCAGGCAUAAAUAAUCUGGAUGUGUUGCUGCAAAACAGAUACUGAAUAAUAGACGCAGGGUGUUUAGCUCAUGUGGAACUUUAUAUUAACACAAUUUGACUGCUUAUAAUAUUUAAAAAGGCCCUAGAUUAAGCUUAUUAUAGACUUGGUAAUUCAAAACGAACUAGUUCUGUACCUCCUCUUUGUGGCAUUAGAAGCAAUGCAUCCCUUAGGCCCUUGGAGGGCAAUGACUCAGAGCUAACCUGAACAAGAAUGGACCUUGGCACGCUCAAUGCCUCAUUUAUUCUGCACUGCUGAAUCCUUACAGUUAAGUAUUCGACCCCUCAGUACAUCAGUCUAAUACACAAUCAAAUACGCCCUCAAGUUUCAGAGUAAUACUAGAGUUGAAAACUCCCUCUACCCUUGCAAGGGUACUAGGUAAUAAGACCUUGGAUCUUAAGGGUAAAUUAGUGCAAGGCCUUCACCUGAGGCCUUUCGUGACAGAACUCCUAACUUCAUGUUCUCUGUAAACGUGGAGUGCUAGAAUGAUCUUCAGGUGUCUAUGAUGACAGAAUAUACAGUAACAUUUUGAAUGCAAAAUGCAACUACUGUUCUUAGGGGUAAAAAACAAUGUUUAUGAACAGGAUGGAGAGAGAGAGUCUAGAAAGGCCUUGACUUGUAUUCUGUGGCCCAACAAACAGCACCAGGCCUGACUGCAAUAAUACUCCAAUUACCAAACUCUAGGGGAGGAUAGCUGGCAUUUCCCUCUGUCCAAUGUUUUAAUUGGGCUGUCAGCUAGGGAUAAUUAGUUUCUGGUUGACUGAAAGAAGUGACAGUGACAUCAGCUCUCUGUUACCCUUUAUUAUUUAAAUUCUUGUAUUGUAACAGGGCCUCAGCAUACAGGGCGCUCCUGCGGCAUUUACAAGCCUCUCGUUCUGCAGGGCAAUGGAAAUGCAGCAAAGUAAGACACACACAAAACAUUUCAAGCUGUUUACCACAUACGUUUUCAUAGCACAAGGACUUUUGAGAGCCAAGACUAUUUCUGUACAGGAAAGUCUGGUUUUGCUUGUUUUACUGGAAAUUUGAUAGUACUGUUACAGAUGUGACAGUCUAAAGUUAUAAACAAAGCAAGGUUUAUAGGGAGAGGCAAUACCUUCCAUUAAUCCAGCUGAUGUGACUAGAAAAAUAAAGAUAAUUUUGGGCAUGUGAACUCCUCUUGAGAUCUUGUACCCAAAGCUGGUCUGCUUUUAGUUCACGUGGUCACAUACACCAUCUGAGCUAUUAGAAGUAUUGAAUUUCUCUCCAGUUCUUGCCUUACUUAUAGGAAAAUACCUCUGAUGCUAGUAGCGUAUUAUCACAAAAGGUUUAAUUCAUUCUGUUGAAAGCAUAGUCCAAAGCAAUUGAUAUACAUUCUUGUGGUGUGUGUUUGUUUGUUUUUUGCACGGCAUCAGAAAGAUGCUUUCAUUUAUAUUGAUUUUUGUAACAAUGCUUGAGCUUCUCCAUCAGCAGAGAACACCAGGUAUUUCCCCCACUGUUUUCUUGCACUCAGCUUCCACUCUCCUCCCUUCCCUUAGGCUGUUGAGAAGUAGUAGAGCAGGCAGAAAUUGCGGUGCCACAAGCAUUGGCAGCAUUAUACACAGGCAGUUUCUCUCAGGACUUCUCCAGCUGGUAUAUUUUCAAAGUGCAAAGGGAAUAUAGCACACCAAUGAAUCUUCUUGUGGACUUAGAAUCCAGUUGUUUGCUGCUUAAUUUUCCAGGGAGUUGACGUUGGAUGUUCUCAGUUCCACGGUUCCUCACGCAAAUCUUACGUGUGAAUGACAAUGGAGCUACAGGACUUCGCAACUGUGAUGCUGGUGAGUCCUAGUCAUACAACGAUCUGCUCUGUUACCAUUCUUCCACAGCAGAGCUCUGAAAGGAAGCUGAGAGCAAGCCUAGUACUGAGGAACAUUUUGGUACAGAUCUAAUAAACCUUCUGUUUAUUAAGACCCCUCUGAGCUUCUUGUUCCUCACCUUUGCCAAUUCUGAUUUCACCUAAGGUCUGUGCCGGAUUGAAGUUCCAGGAGGAAAUCUGCUUUGUGGGCCUGUAUAGCUAUGUGCAAUGUUCAUGCUGCCUUAAUUCCCCAGGAAAAAAAGGCAGCAAUGGCAAGCAUCAUUGUUAUUCAAUCCAUGCCCGCUGAUAGAGAAUAAAGUCCCUCUCUGCAGAAACUGGAAAGAGCCCAAGCAGCCGUACAGUGCUUGCCUGUCCCUGGGUUAAGCUCCUUGGAUAGAGUGAGGCAGGUUGAUAUAGUAAGAGUGAAUCUGACCUUCUUCUCUACGUAUUUCAGUUGCUGUAAUUUAAGGCAGAGAUGAGAGGAGAAGCCUGAUGAACAGGAUUCACAUGCCAAAUAUCUAUGACAGUAUGACAAGCCUCCAGUUGAUUAGUGCCCCACACAGGCCUGGAUUGAGAGACUGGGGUGGUCUUUUCAUGGCCUACUUGAAAGAAUUUCUUGGCAGUGGCUCCAGCUUUUUUCAGCACUGUUGGCUACAAAGCUUGUUGCAGUCUCUAGACAAUCUUAUAACCCUUUCACUUCGCAGACUAAUUUAAAACAUUUCCGUAUAUGUGAUGACUGGCUAUGAAAUACAGAAAAGUCUUGGACUAGAGGAAAUACAGCCUUUUUGGGUUCCCAGUACCCCCACACAUUACUGCUGAAACGGAGCAAGCAUAUCUGGGAUACAAAAACUAUGAAUGACAGUGUGGAUCAUGUUUCAGCAGUGUCAUAGACAAUGAACCUAGAGCAAAGUAGUGCUAAAUUUCCUACAGAAAUAUGCACUUGCCUUAGAUAAGUGUAGUGGCCAAAGUGAAGGCAGAAGUUUAGACUGUUUAUGUUACUAGAUGUACAACUGGAUACUCACAGUCAACAGCUGUUAAAUAAUAUAUUGGGAAUUUAUUGGAAUUCCAUAGGUCUUAAAACUUGAAUUCUCUCUUUAAUGUAAUUUUAUUUUGUCAGCUUCACGCUUAAAAUCAGAGAUUAUACCCUAUGUGUUUGUUGUUUAAACUGUACUUGAUUCAAAUAUUCAAAUAUUUAUCACAGUUUGACUAUAUCUUAGAAGUAAAGUUUUUGAGCUGAAGAAGUAUUUCAAGAUGGACUUCUUCCUCUGACAUCAAACCCUCUUGCAAAAAGCCACUUCCUAAUUUCCAACAUUUCAAGAAUAUUUGUGAUAAAUAUACUGUCUUGGAAAAACCUAAACAGAUGUAUUUGCAAAUUACACAGACUCAUGGAGAUGAGCAAGUGCUUAUUCUUUGAUGCUGCUUCUCUUUAGUUAACAUAAAAGUCAACCUUUUUAUCUGAGUGAUAUUCUGUUAAUGAGCAAGAAAAUUCAGCAUGCAUAAAUCUUGGAACAAAAAGGAUUAAUACUGUUAAAUUUUGCCUGUACCAUUUUAACUAUAAAAGCAUUAAUGCUGAAGGAGCCAUAAU